UCAUCUUACUGCUUUGACAUUCACUGUACUGGUGUAAACUGGUUACUUUUGAAGUUUUAUUUUUAAUAUUUACGCAUUGCCCUUUAUUUGACAUGAUUGAGUGUAACAAUCUCAAACAAAGUUUCGGGGCAUUUCCCGGUCUAGCAAGAAAUAUGGAUAUGAAGGCGAUAAGAAAGGCGAAACUGGCAAGGAAAAUAGAUUGACUGUGAGCUGAAAGCAGGGAACAGAGAGAAGAAUGUGCAGAUUAGCCGAACAGCAAGCUUAAAGUUUCAAUAAAGAAUGUGAGCCAAAGAUGACCAUGAUAAAAUAUGAGUAUUGUCAGAUUUGAUAUGAAGCUCGGCAGUAUAAUGUGUGGUAUGAAAUAUGAAGAAACUGGUACUUCUGGUUAAAACAAUGCAUCUGUUAGAGGCAACAAGACUUUGUUCAAGACGUGUCAAAUUUGAGUCAACCAAAAGACAUUCUGGCGACGGGGCGACUUUCUUAUUGAGAGGAACAAGAACUUUGAGUAAGUUUUGUUAUAUUUUCUGAUCCUUAGGAUUAAAGAUAACAUUAGUUUUUACUGUUAUAGAAUUCCGCAUAAGCCGGUGCUACAGGGAUUGAGGUGUGUUGUUAAUUUAAUUACCUCUCAUGAACAGACUCCAUAAUAAGUCUGCUAUUAUGUUGUUUGAAUGCGUUCUAUGCUUCCAAACGAUCUUUCACAAAUUUUAGUAAUUAGAAAGCAAUUAAAAAAACUGGUUGACACAUUAAAAAAAGAAGCAUUGAAGACCCCAAGGAAAAUUUCAUUUUGCUCUGUUUUUUGCAUCUACG